CCUUCGAUAGCUCAGUUGGUAGAGCGGUGGACUGUAUAAGUUGUGAUGGUUAUCCAUAGGUCGCUGGUUCGAAUCCGGCUCGAAGGA
rnacentral:tRNA from 1 species